rnacentral:rRNA from 1 species
AGAGUCUUAUCCUGGCUCAGGAUGAACGCCGGCGGUGUGCCUAAUACAUGCAAGUCGUACGCACUGGCCCAACUGAUUGAUGGUGCUUGCACCGGAUUGACGAUGGAUCACCAGUGAGUGGCGGACGGGUGAGUAACACGUAGGUAACCUGCCCCGGAGCGGGGGAUAACAUUUGGAAACAGAUGCUAAUACCGCAUAACAACAAAAGCCACAUGGCUUUUGUUUGAAAGAUGGCUUUGGCUAUCACUCUGGGAUGGACCUGCGGUGCAUUAGCUAGUUGGUAGGUAACGGCUUACCAAGGCGAUGAUGCAUAGCCGAGUUGAGAGACUGAUCGGCCACAAUGGAACUGAGACACGGUCCAUACUCCUACGGGAGGCAGCAGUAGGGAAUCUUCCACAAUGGGCGCAAGCCUGAUGGAGCAACACCGCGUGAGUGAAGAAGGGUUUCGGCUCGUAAAACUCUGUUGUUGGAGAAGAACGUGCGUGAGAGUAACUGUUCACGCAGUGACGGUAUCCAACCAGAAAGUCACGGCUAACUACGUGCCAGCAGCCGCGGUAAUACGUAGGUGGCAAGCGUUAUCCGGAUUUAUUGGGCGUAAAGCGAGCGCAGGCGGUUGCUUAGGUCUGAUGUGAAAGCCUUCGGCUUAACCGAAGAAGUGCAUCGGAAACCGGGCGACUUGAGUGCAGAAGAGGACAGUGGAACUCCAUGUGUAGCGGUGGAAUGCGUAGAUAUAUGGAAGAACACCAGUGGCGAAGGCGUCUGUCUGGUCUGCAACUGACGCUGAGGCUCGAAAGCAUGGGUAGCGAACAGGAUUAGAUACCCUGGUAGUCCAUGCCGUAAACGAUGAGUGCUAGGUGUUGGAGGGUUUCCGCCCUUCAGUGCCGGAGCUAACGCAUUAAGCACUCCGCCUGGGGAGUACGACCGCAAGGUUGAAACUCAAAGGAAUUGACGGGGGCCCGCACAAGCGGUGGAGCAUGUGGUUUAAUUCGAAGCUACGCGAAGAACCUUACCAGGUCUUGACAUCUUGCGCUAACCUUAGAGAUAAGGCGUUCCCUUCGGGGACGCAAUGACAGGUGGUGCAUGGUCGUCGUCAGCUCGUGUCGUGAGAUGUUGGGUUAAGUCCCGCAACGAGCGCAACCCUUGUUACUAGUUGCCAGCAUUAAGUUGGGCACUCUAGUGAGACUGCCGGUGACAAACCGGAGGAAGGUGGGGACGACGUCAGAUCAUCAUGCCCCUUAUGACCUGGGCUACACACGUGCUACAAUGGACGGUACAACGAGUCGCAAACUCGCGAGAGUAAGCUAAUCUCUUAAAGCCGUUCUCAGUUCGGACUGUAGGCUGCAACUCGCCUACACGAAGUCGGAAUCGCUAGUAAUCGCGGAUCAGCAUGCCGCGGUGAAUACGUUCCCGGGCCUUGCACACACCGCCCGUCA